UUAAUAUAUUAAAAUAUUUUUUAUUAAUAAUUAUUUUUUUGGUAUUUUCUUUUUUUAAGUAUUUUAAAGAAAAAAUUUUGUUUUCAUUUCUGUUAAGGUUUUUAUUUAUAUAAGUAAUUUUUUAUAUUAUUACCUUUUGUAUCAGGGUGUUUUAAUUAUUUUAAUUAUUUUUAUUUCCCGAACUAAAAAGGUCAAUGUUAUUAAUUUAUAUUUUGUAUUAAAAAAAUUAAAAAUAUUAAUAUAGUAAUUAUAUGUUAAUCGUUUUUUAUUUAUCUGGUUACUAAGGAUUUAAUAAAAUUAUUCAUUUCUUUAUUUAAAAAUUAUUAAAAUUUUUGAUAUGAUAUUUUAUUAGGGAUAAUCUUAAUAAUUAAAUAAUAUAAUUUAUUUUUGUUUGAAUUUUUUAUCUUUAAAAUUUUGUAUUAAGUUUUUAAUAAAUUAGUUUAUCCAAUUAUUAUUUUUUUAAAUUUAUUUUUGUACUUAGUUAAUUUAUUUAAUUAUUAAUUAAUUUUAAUAAUGAUUCAAUAAGUAUAGUAAUUUAAUUUAUUUUAAAAUGAAUUCAACAAUUCUUAUAUUCAAUUGUUUAACAAAAACAUUUCCUUUUGAUUAUUUAUAUAAAAGGUAUAUUCUGCCCUAUGAUUUUUAAAUGGCUGCAGUAUAUUGACUGUGCAAAGGUAGCAUAAUAAUUAGUUUUUUAAUUGAAGGCUGGUAUGAACGAGUGAAUGUAAUAUAUAUUUUAUUUAUUUUAAUACUAAAAUUUAAAUUUUAAGUUAAAAUGCUUAAUUAAAUUCUAGGGACGAUAAGACCCUAUAGAACUUUAUAUAUAUAAUGAUUAAUGAUUUAUUUUGUGAAUCUUUUAAUUUUUGUAUAUAAUUUGCUGGGGUGGUAUUUAAAUUUAAACUUUAAAAUUUUUAUUCAUUUAUAAAUGUUUUUUAGAUCCUAAUUUUGGGUUAUUAGAUAAAGUUACCUUAGGGAUAACAGCGUAAUAAUAAUGGGGAGUUCAUAUCUAUAUUAAUUUUUGCGACCUCGAUGUUGAAUUAAGAAUAUUAUAAGAAGUAGCCCUCUUAAUAAUAAGUCUGUUCGACUUUUAAAUUCUUACAUGAUUUGAGUUCAAACCGGCGUGAGCCAGGUUGGUUUCUAUCUUAGAAAAUUUAUAUUUGUUUAGUACGAAAGGACCAACAAUUAAUACUAAUUGUAUUAAAUUCUUA
rnacentral:rRNA from 1 species